rnacentral:rRNA from 1 species
AGAGUUUGAUUCUGGCUCAGGAUGAACGCUAGCUACAGGCUUAACACAUGCAAGUCGAGGGGCAGCAUGGGAUUAGCUUGCCAAUCCUGAUGGCGACCGGCGCACGGGUGAGUAACGCGUAUCCAACCUUCCCCCUGCUCAGGGAUAGCCCGCUGAAAGGCGGAUUAACACCUGAUAGCUUCACUGGAUGGCAUCUGACGGUGAAUAAAGAUAACGGCAAGGGAUGGGGAUGCGUCUGAUUAGCUUGUUGGCGGGGUAACGGCCCACCAAGGCGACGAUCAGUAGGGGUUCUGAGAGGAAGGUCUCCCACAUUGGAACUGAGACACGGUCCAAACUCCUACGGGAGGCAGCAGUGAGGAAUAUUGGUCAAUGGGCGGAAGCCUGAACCAGCCAAGUAAGCGUGCAGGAAGACGGCCCUAUGGGUUGUAAACUGCUUUUGUACGGGAAUAAAGUCAGGGACGUGUCCCUGUUUGCAUGUACCGUAAGAAUAAGGACCGGCUAAUUCCGUGCCAGCAGCGGC